rnacentral:rRNA from 1 species
UACGGGGGGAGCAAGCGUUGUCCGGAUUUACUGGGCGUAAAGAGCGCGCAGGCGGUCGUUCAAGUCGAGUGUGAAAGCCCCCGGCUCAACUGGGGAGGGUCACUCGAUACUGAUCGACUCGAAGGCAGAAGAGGGAAGCGGAAUUCCCGGUGUAGUGGUGAAAUGCGUAGAUAUCGGGAGGAACACCAGUGGCGAAGGCGGCUUUCUGGUCUGCUCUUGACGCUGAGGCGCGAAAGCUAGGGUAGCAAACGGG